CCGCGCAGCCGCCGGAAUGGAAACGGGAGACAGGGAGGGGCAGGGGCGGCUGCUCCGGGGGCAGCCGGGUGCGUUGGUUGCCCCCUGCCCUAGGGAGCUCUGAGGCGGGGUUGUGGCGGCUGGGCGCCCGCCUGGGGCCGUGACAGGAGCGUUGGGCGGGCCCCGGGACCUCCUGACACCCGCUGCUGGUCCGGACAGAACCGAUGGGCAAGGCGAAAAGAAGCGAGAAGGAGGCGAAGCGGGCCCCGUUGCAGGCGGCUGCGGUGGGGAAGAGGCGUUAUCUGCACCCGCCAGCCCCCAGGAGUACGGACGUUGCGGGUGGAAACAUAAGCUCGCUUUGAAGGCAGCUGCGAAAACGGUUUACGUUUUAGGACAACGCAGAAGGGAAAGUUCUUCUCAAGUGGCCACUCGGCUUGGAGCGGGGAGAGAUCUGAGAGCUGUGCAGCCACAGAAACUAACCCUGGCUAGCAGGCACUUAUACAUGUUAAUGAAGGAAACUCUGCCGGAAAGGAAUAUGUAAAAGGAUGCCAAACUCUUUGUCCUGUGAAGAGUGAUGCAGACAAAGUGCCAGCUAUUCAGCAGUGACUCUGCAAUUAAAGGGCUAUGAAUACACGACUUUCAGGUCCUGGAAGGAAGCCCUUCUGCAUGAUUACAGUUCUGAUAUCACAUUGCAUGUAACUUGACUCUCAGAUCCAAGUAAUGACAAUUUAAGGCUUGUCUACAUGGGAAGUCAUUCCAGAAUAGCUAUUCCUGGUCGACUCUAUGGCCUGGUCUACACUACAAGUUUGUCGAAUUUAGCAGCGUUAAAUCGAAUUAACCAUGCACCCGUC